rnacentral:rRNA from 1 species
AGAGUUUGAUCAUGGCUCAGAUUGAACGCUGGCGGCAUGCCUUACACAUGCAAGUCGAACGGUAACGCGGGGGCAACCCUGGCGACGAGUGGCGAACGGGUGAGUAGCGCAUCGGAACGUGCCCAGUAGUGGGGGAUAGCUCGGCGAAAGCCGGGUUAAUACCGCAUACGACCUACGGGUGAAAGCGGGGGACCGCAAGGCCUCGCGCUAUUGGAGCGGCCGAUGCCCGAUUAGCUAGUUGGUGGGGUAAAGGCUCACCAAGGCAACGAUCGGUAGCUGGUCUGAGAGGACGACCAGCCACACUGGGACUGAGACACGGCCCAGACUCCUACGGGAGGCAGCAGUGGGGAAUUUUGGACAAUGGGGGAAACCCUGAUCCAGCCAUGCCGCGUGCGGGAAGAAGGCCUUCGGGUUGUAAACCGCUUUUGGCAGGAACGAAACGGCGCACGCUAACACCGUGCGCUAAUGACGGUACCUGCAGAAUAAGCACCGGCUAACUACGCGCCAGCAGCCGCGGUAAUACGUAGGGUGCAAGCGUUAAUCGGAAUUACUGGGCGUAAAGCGUACGCAGGCGGCUAUGCAAGACAGGUGUGAAAUCCCUGGGCUCAACCUGGGAACCGCAUUUGUGACUGCAUAGCUAGAGUCCGUAAGAGGGGGGUGGAAUUCCACGUGUAGCAGUGAAAUGCGUAGAGAUGUGGAGGAACACCGAUGGCGAAGGC